rnacentral:rRNA from 1 species
GACGAACGCUGGCGGCGUGCUUAACACAUGCAAGUCGAACGGAAAGGCCCUGCUUUUGUGGGGUGCUCGAGUGGCGAACGGGUGAGUAACACGUGAGUAACCUGCCCUUGACUUUGGGAUAACUUCAGGAAACUGGGGCUAAUACCGGAUAGGAGCUCCUGCUGCAUGGUGGGGGUUGGAAAGUUUCGGCGGUUGGGGAUGGACUCGCGGCUUAUCAGCUUGUUGGUGGGGUAGUGGCUUACCAAGGCUUUGACGGGUAGCCGGCCUGAGAGGGUGACCGGCCAAAUUGGGAAUGAGAUACGGCCCAGACUCCUACGGGAGGCAGCAGUGGGGAAUAUUGCAAAAUGGGCGGAAGCCUGAUGCAGCAACGCCGCGUGCGGGAUGACGGCCUUCGGGUUGUAAACCGCUUUCGCCUGUGACGAAGCGUGAGUGACGGUAAUGGGUAAAGAAGCACCGGCUAACUACGUG